rnacentral:rRNA from 1 species
GAAUCUUGGACAAUGGGGGAAACCCUGAUCAAGCCAUCCCGCGUGUGCGAUGAAGGCAUUCGGGUAGUAGAGCACUUUUGGCGGGGAAGACAGGGUUCUGGCUAAUACCCGGAGCUGAUGACGGUACAGGCAGACUAAGCACCGGCUAGCUACGUGCAAGCAGCGGCGGUAAUAAGUAGGGUGCAAGCGUUAAUCGGAAUUACUGGGCGUAAAGCGGGCGCAGUAGGUUAGGCAAGAAGGAUGUGAAAUACCAGGGCUUAACCUUGGACCUGCAUUCUUAACUGCCAGGCUAGAGUAUGUCAGAGGGGGGUAGAAUUCCGCGUGUAGCAGUGAAAUGCGUAGAGAUGCGGAGGAAUACCGAUGGCGAAGGCAGCCCCCUGGGAUAAUACUGACGCUCAUGAACGAAAGCGUGGGGAGCAAACA